GCCUUCGUGGUGCAGUGGUCAGCACGCUCGACGCGCACUCUAGAGGUCCGUGGUUCGAAUCCGGGAGAGGGCA
rnacentral:tRNA from 1 species